ACAUCCUUCGGCGAUACAUACGGUAAAAUUGGGAACGUGAAGAGUAAUUUAGCAUGGACCCUGCGGUAGGAUGACACGUGAAAUAAAUAAAAAAGUGGGUAGUGUUU